GUGAAAUUGUUGAAAGGGAAACGAUUGAAGCCAGUCGUACCUUCGGGUAAUCAGCCUUUCGGGUGCGAUUAUGUGGAGUGUGAGGAGCUUAAACGCCUUCAUGCCUGCAUAUUCGUGCACUUUGGGUGUACUUGCCCGUAUGGUUGGUUAACAUCAAUUUCGGUCGUCAUAAAAUGACGGGAGGAAUGUAGCUUCGGUCUCGUACUGAAGUGUUAUAGACUCUGGUAGAUGUGAUGACCGGGAUUGAGGAUUGCAACGGAUACCCUCUGGGCUACCCGCCUGAUCUCUGAUGGUUGCUCUGGUACCGAAAGCGUGCUUACGGUCAUCAAAGUUGAUUGUCAAAAGGUUAGAACGGGUUAAAUUCGUUAAGGAUGUUGACGUAAUGGCUUUAAACGAC
rnacentral:rRNA from 1 species